rnacentral:misc_RNA from 1 species
CCAAACUUGGUCAUUUAGAGGAAGUAAAAGUCGUAACAAGGUUUCCGUAGGUGAACCUGCGGAAGGAUCAUUAAAAGUAAUAAGCAUCAAAUGCUCAUUAUAAACCCAUCCGCGUAUCUUACCCGUUGCUUCCGUGGCGCGUGACCGCCCUGGCGGUCCCCCACGGGAGGUACACAUGAAAAACCUUGCAUUUCCAUGGUGUCAGUCUGAAAUGUAAACAACAAAAGUUAAAACUUUCAACAACGGAUCUCUUGGUUCUCGCAUCGAUGAAGAACGCAGC